rnacentral:rRNA from 1 species
CCUACGGGAGGCAGCAGUGGGGAAUUUUGGACAAUGGGCGCAAGCCUGAUCCAGCCAUUCCGCGUGAGUGAAGAAGGCCUUCGGGUUGUAAAGCUCUUUCGGCAGGGAAGAAACGGUAUGGGUUAAUACCCUGUGCUAAUGACGGUACCUGAAGAAGAAGCACCGGCUAACUACGUGCCAGCAGCCGCGGUAAUACGUAGGGUGCGAGCGUUAAUCGGAAUUACUGGGCGUAAAGCGUGCGCAGGCGGUUUUGUAAGACAGAUGUGAAAUCCCCGGGCUUAACCUGGGAACUGCGUUUGUGACUGCAAGACUCGAGUACGGCAGAGGGGGGUGGAAUUCCACGUGUAGCAGUGAAAUGCGUAGAGAUGUGGAGGAACACCGAUGGCGAAGGCAGCCCCCUGGGUCGAUACUGACGCUCAUGCACGAAAGCGUGGGGANCAAACAGGAUUAGAUACCCUGGUAGUCCACGCCCUAGACGAUGCCAACUAGGUGUUGGGGGAAGGAGACUUCCUUAGUACCGUAGCUAACGCGUGAAGUUGGCCGCCUGGGGAUACGGUCGCAAGAUUAAAACUCAAAGGAAUUGACGG